AAAAAAAAAUAGAAGUACCGAAUCAUUCAGGAAAACUGAAAACGCAGGCAGUUAGCACGUUCUCCUUGAAGAACAACUGCCAGGGCGCACGAUUGGAGACCGAAGAAGGACGUGGGAGAUGAUCGGAGUGGAUAUGGCUUCAUCGCUAUUCACCCCAAUCUCAAUUUACGGUUCAUAUAAAAGGAGAAAAGGGAAAGACGAACAUAGCAAAAUCAAACCCAAAAAGAGGAAAAAAAAUUGUAUCAAAAUCGGUAGUGUGGGCAGAGCGGAUUCUCAAUCAAACCCAAAAGGCAGAGUAAAAUAGGUAUCAACUCGGGCGACACUGUUGCUGAUUCAGUGGAGGUAAAUGUAUGGGAGAUUUCGGAACAUUGUGAAAGUUACUGAAACUUGGUGUCCGCUU